rnacentral:rRNA from 1 species
GACGAACGCUGGCGGCGUGCCUAACACAUGCAAGUCGAACGAGAUUCUUCUAAUUAGCUUACUAAGAAGUUGGAUCUAGUGGCGGACGGGUGAGUAACGCGUGGGCAAUCUGCCCUGUGGAAAGGGAUAGCCUCGGGAAACCGGGAUUAAUACCUUAUGAUAUUAUUGUUACGCAUGUAACGAUAAUCAAAGAUUUAUCGCCACAGGAUGAGCCCGCGUCCCAUUAGCUAGUUGGUGAGAUAACAGCCCACCAAGGCGACGAUGGGUAGCCGACCUGAGAGGGUGAACGGCCACACUGGGACUGAGACACGGCCCAGACUCCUACGGGAGGCAG